GUGCAUCUCCUCGGCAGCCACACCGUGGUGUGAAUAUGGACCCGAGUGUGACACCGGUUCUCUGUAGGUGAUGUGUGGGUUUCAGCACCACGACCCCUUCUCCUGGGUCUGUUCAAUCCACGGGAGGCGGCUCCCCUUCAGCUGUUGCCAGAAAACCGUGGAGGAAACCGAAUAAACAUCAUCUCCAAUAAACAUCUCUAAUGAGGGAGGAGGCCCGAGGAUGGCGGGGUUUGAUUUAUGACUGGAGGAGAAGGUCCACUUCCCACUGCGAAACGGGCAACCUGCUCGCCGCCGUCCAGCUCCGGGGACCUCUGCGCAGAGGAGCCCGGCCCAGGUCUCCCCGAGUGAAGCUCAAAUCACACGCUGGGAGCCCUCGGCGCUGCCCAGCUCCGCGGGCCACAUUCUUUCGUCCUCCGCUCCUCUCUGAGAAACGAACUCCCGGCGCUCAGACUUUGUUUCGGUCCGACCAGCUACACCAUACAACCGCGAGAAAGUUUUGCAGCGUUUCGCCUGCCGCGCGCGCCCGGGUGUUGCCACGAACUCUAGCA